UACGGAGGGGACUAGCGUAGUUCGGAAUUACUGGGCGUAAAGCGCGCGUAGGCGGAUGAGUUAGUUAGUGGUGAAAUCCCAGGGCUCAAUUCCGGAACUGCCUUUGAUACUGCUAGUCUUGAGUUCGAGAGAGGUGAGUGGAAUUCCGAGUGUAGAGGUGAAAUUCGUAGAUAUUCGGAGGAACACCAGUGGCGAAGGCGGCUCACUGGCUCGAUACUGACGCUGAGGUGCGAAAGCGUGGGGAGCAAACAGG
rnacentral:misc_RNA from 1 species